AUGUUAUGGUGGGUCCGGUGAGGCCGGAGUUGCGUCCUUGACUGGUUUGCGUGGGGUGCGGAUCCAUUGUGUACAGGUGUGAGUUGGACUGUCAGGUUGACUGAGGGACGACGGGACGCUAGAUUCUUGGUCGUUUUGUUAGCAGUGUCUUGUGCUAAGGAUGGAGACACCAUCGGAGAUGUCGGGAUAUGUGCACAACGUGUCGCCAAUGAAAGACGGGGCAAAGUCAAAGUUUUUCCGGUUUGAUUUUCAAACUUCAGAAGACGAGUCUAGGAAAGGAAUCUGUUUUAGUCCUCAGAAGAGGAGUUUCUUUUGUGAGAAAGAACAGAGCAGCAGCCCAUGCAAAAUCAGUAAAGUGAGCAGUUGUUCGAUGAGAUCAAGCGACUUUGUGGUUAAUGAGAAGAGUUCCGUGGAGUCGACAGCAGAUGUGGGAUUUCCAGCAAAACGACCUAGUAUUAGGUCUGUAAGUGUUAAGGACAUUAGCUACCUCUCUGUGAAUGAUGUUGUAAGAGUCAAUGUGAAGGUGCUUUCCAUUGAUAAAACAGAGAAAGUUACAGUUAACUCAGGUGAUGAGCGAGAGAAGACAGAUGUUAUCGUAGGUGACACAAGUGGAGCUGUUCGCUUGUGUGUUUGGCAGCCACAUGUGUUAGAGUUAGGGCGUAGCUAUGGUGUGGACGCUAAAGUUAAGUUGUUUGCCAGAAGACGAUUUCUGAGCACGUUUCCUGAGUCAGUGGUGAACGAAGUAGGUCCUAUAUAUGCCCCAGAUGGGA